rnacentral:sRNA from 18 species
AAGCGGUGAAGUAAGGUGUUGUGCCAGAGUGCAGUGCCUUAUGAGCUUUAUAAGGGUUUAACAUUUACCACAAUCUGGCUAGAGGUUAAUUCUCGAAAGAAAAUGUUCGAA